rnacentral:rRNA from 1 species
AAAACAAAGAGUUUGAUCUUGGCUCAGGACGAACGCUGGCGGCGUGCCUAAUACAUGCAAGUCGAGCGAACCACUUCGGUGGUUAGCGGCGGACGGGUGAGUAACACGUGGGCAACCUGCCUGUAAGACUGGGAUAACACCGGGAAACCGGUGCUAAUACCGGAUAAUUCUUACCAACACAUGUUGGUAAGUUGAAAGUCGGUUUCGGCUGACACUUACAGAUGGGCCCGCGGCGCAUUAGCUAGUUGGUGAGGUAACGGCUCACCAAGGCGACGAUGCGUAGCCGACCUGAGAGGGUGAUCGGCCACACUGGGGGACUGAGACACGGCCCAGACUCCUACGGGAGGCAGCAGUAGGGAAUCUUCCACAAUGGACGAAAGUCUGAUGGAGCAACGCCGCGUGAGCGAAGAAGGCCUUGGGUCGUAAAGCUCUGUUGUUAGGGAAGAACAAGUACCGGAGUAACUGCCGGUACUUGACGGUACCUAACCAGAAAGCCACGGCUAACUACGUGCCAGCAGCCGCCGUAAU